CACAGUACGGUCUUCAACACGGAGCCUUGGCUCACACCGAACAGUAAGCUAUAAAGGGCCCCAAAAAUAACUAGUGUAAAACCAUUCAAACGGGAAAACCAACGGUCUAAUCUAUAUAAAAAACGAGAAACGAGAAACACUUAUGAACCACAUCAACAAACGACAACUACUGAACAUCAGAUUCCUGACUUAGGACAGGUGCAAACAAAUGCAGCGGGUUUAAACGUUUUAAUGGUACCAAACCUUCACCCUUUUUCUGAAACAAUAGUGUAACAUCACAACAUAGACAACAUGUCUGUCUGACAAGGUUCAUUUAACCUUUACCUCAUUUUUACAGCCCAUUAUUAAUUUAAGUUUUUGUGAUAACUGUAGAAAUCCCUUUAUUCCGAAGCCUUUCAGUAUAAAAUUCAAUCAAUCAAAGCAUGAGAGCACUACAAAGGCAAUUGACGCCAAGUUUGGACCAUUUGGUCAAUAACUAACAUACGUCCUUGAUUUGGUUGACUGAUUCGAUCCAUUAACAUAUUUUUGUGACGUCCAUGCAUUCUUAAAUGUUUUUUUUAGACUCUGGAUUACCGAUAUACGUAAUAGUAUUGUAACGUGUAACCAGUAAGGCGUUUAUAUCUUAAACGAACGUUCCAGUAAAUAAUUGGAUUCAAGCUGUCCAUAAACAUUACGGUAUUGCCAAAAACCUACAACUAUGUAUCUAUGUUAUGUACAAUGACUCAUUGUUGCUUAAGUUACAUGCUUACGUGUGUUGUAUUCGAAGGUGGUGGAAGUGGUGUUGGCUCGAGAGAGAAAAAAUUUGUUUAUAUGGUUAUUUCAGUGCUCCAAAGAACUUUUUGUGUUAUAAUCUGGUGACAUCUACACGCAUUUAUCAUUGGCGCAGAUUUAAAAUUGACAUUUAAAAAAAUAGUAGACGAGUUUAUACCUUUUCAAAUUUACCUGGUGUAAUUUGACCCCCGCGAAGGCAAUCCUUCUAGAUUUUAAAAAGUUAGUUUAAGCCCCACCUGUUAUAAUUCAAACCUUAACGUACUAAUAUAAUGUGAUUCUGAGUGUUUAAUAAUCAUUUCUUUUUAGAUUUUAUAAAUAGAAUUAUAGAAUUUGACUACUGAAGUCGGACUAUUUUUAAGCAGUUAAGCUGCUUUAUGCGAGCACCCUAGAUUUGUGUUCUACCCAAUAAAUGCUGAAAUAUGUGCCAUUGUUAUUAUCUGGCUGGCUAUUAUGUUAUUUAUAACUAAUUGAACACUUUUUUCAUACUUUUUAUUCUGGAAUACAAAAAAUAUGACCAGAAAAACCUUAAAUGAUCGUCGAACCACCCAAAAGUUUUGAAGUUGCACAUAGAAAGUAGUGCUCGCUUGAAAUCCUUAUGUAGAUUGUUCUCCCCUGUGCUUUUGGCUAAGAUGUUAUAGAACAAUUGCCGGUAUGAAAUAUUUAAUCGCCGAAAAUCUCUAAUUACAAGUCGUUUACAUUUGCCAAAUGGCAAAAAGCGCAGGAAUAUUGUAUAACGGCUGUGACUAAUAUGACACGGUGUUAAGUCUCAGUUGGCGGUAAUUUUAACUUCGUCGACAAAACGUAAAUCAAUGACGUUCUAAAUUUGGUGGAUUCAGAUAAUACGAAAGUAAUUAAUAUUAAUCAUUUUAUUCGUUUUUGUCUGAGAUGAUUGUGAUUAUUUAAAUCAUCUUAAUUAAAUGUAUGCUCAUUUGUUUUCUUGUUAACACUAUAUAUUCCGUUUAUCUCGUAAAUGAGCUUCAUGCUUGUCAAAUCAAGUUGUUGUUAUUGUUAUUGAAUGAAAUAAAACUAGAGAUCUGAUUGGUCGAUGUCAAGGUCAUUUCAAGAUGGUUUCCUUUGUGUUUUUAGUCAGGCUUUGGUGUUACAGGCUGCUACAUGUGCUUUGAUUUAGUUCAAUGUGCUUCAAAUAAUAUUGAGAUUAAAACUUUAACAAUUAUUUUCUAAAGGACGGCAUUAUUUAACUUCCAAAGUCGCAUAUUUUUGUAAAAUAUUAAGUCCGAAUUUGUGACGCGUCUCACACCGUAAUUGUUUUUGAUUUACAAGGACUUUUCAAUUUCCGUGAAAAAUACAACUUUUUCGAUGUUUCUUUUUAUGAAUUUUUCAUAUUUAAACUUCUAGAAUCAUUUCUAUGCGUUUCCUUCAGCAACUUGAUGCUGGUAAACGACUUUUCCAUGAAAAUACUGCAAAAAGAAAUCGCAUGAUACGAAAAGAAGCUUGAUUCCAACCUUUGGCAAUGGCUAAUACUAGAAGAGGCAAGGCAUACAUGUACAUGUACAAUACAUGAUUAUCUGUAGCACCUGGAUUAUCCACAAUAAUUCCAUAACAGCAAUGAAACUCUAGACUACUAUGAUGUUAUGUACAUGUAUAUCUACAUAUAUGAUCAAUGUUGAAGAUUGUUUAUGCCAUGUCUCAUCAUGUUGACUAGUCCGACAAGUUUUGGUUCAGCUUUCUGACAGGAAUAAUUAUAAACUUGCCAGCAGUAACAACACAUGAAUAUUAGUUAUUAUUAAGUGCCCCUAUCGGUCUAGCAAUUUUUAUUAUUGUGCACUAAGAAGUAUGCCUAGUAAUCCAAAACUUUUUGCAUGAAGUUAUUUAAAGAUAGUUGGAAUUCAUGAUAUUGAUGCAUUGUGCAGAAACAUGAAAUAUUUUAGUUUGUAUUCUUAACAAUCCAAGAGUAAGGUUAAAUUGUACCAAGGAGAAUUACUUAUUACAAUAAUUACGCAGUAGUAUUUUGAUUGUGGAUUCUUUUCAAUUUUAUUAUUUACUGAAUGCAUAUUUGUCACUUGUUUAAUGCCUUGUUCAAACGUAAGUUUAAUUUGAAUUGAAUGCGAACCAAGUUCACACAAUAUUCUUUUUUUCAUUUUGAAUUGAAUUCAAAUCUAAUGCGAAUCGAAUUCGCUAAUAGCAUUCACACACUCUUCUUUUUUUAAUUCGAAUCUAAUUCAAAUUGGCUAAUUUGCAUUAUCCAAAUCUCAUUAGAAAUACCUUUUUGAGUUAAUUCGAUUAAACUUUGGUGUGAACACUUUCUAAAUUGUAAUUCAAAUUAAACUAUAAUAGAUUAAUUGAUAAAUUGAAUGAAGGGUUAACGUCAUUUGGACAGUAAAGCAAUUUUGACGCAUAUUGCAAUUUGAAGUAGAAUUUACAUUUGGACAUUAAACAUGUUAAACUUUUCGAAUGGGUAUUAAACUAUAAAUUCAAACCAGUUAAUGCGAAUCGAAUUCGAAUUAUGUGUAAACACAGCAUUAAUAUAUCUAAGAAAUGAGGAAUAUAAAAUUAUUAAAAAAAGAUGGCCAAAUAUUUGUAUUAA